rnacentral:rRNA from 1 species
ACAGCAGCAGCCGCGGGAAUACGUAGGGUGCAAGCGUUAAUCGGAAUUACUGGGCGUAAAGCGUGCGCAGGCGGUUAUAUAAGACAGAUGUGAAAUCCCCGGGCUCAACCUGGGAACUGCAUUUGUGACUGUAUAGCUAGAGUACGGCAGAGGGGGAUGGAAUUCCGCGUGUAGCAGUGAAAUGCGUAGAUAUGCGGAGGAACACCGAUGGCGAAGGCAAUCCCCUGGGCCUGUACUGACGCUCAUGCACGAAAGCGUGGGGAGCAAACAGGAUUAGAUACCCGAGUAGUCCCUGUCUCUUAUAA